UACGUAGGGUGCAAGCGUUGUCCGGAAUUAUUGGGCGUAAAGAGCUCGUAGGCGGUUUGUCGCGUCUGCUGUGAAAACUCGGGGCUCAACUCCGAGCUUGCAGUGGGUACGGGCAGACUAGAGUUCGGUAGGGGAGACUGGAAUUCCUGGUGUAGCGGUGGAAUGCGCAGAUAUCAGGAGGAACACCGAUGGCGAAGGCAGAUCUCUGGGCCGUAACUGACGCUGAGGAGCGAAAGCAUGGGGAGCGAACAGG
rnacentral:rRNA from 1 species